rnacentral:rRNA from 1 species
UACGUAGGUGGCAAGCGUUGUCCGGAUUUAUUGGGUUUAAAGGGUGCGUAGGCGGCUUGAUAAGUCAGUGGUGAAAGCCGAUCGCUUAACGAUCGAACUGCCAUUGAUACUGUCGGGCUUGAGUAUAGAUGAGGUAGGCGGAAUUGACAGUGUAGCGGUGAAAUGCAUAGAUAUUGUCAAGAACACCGAUUGCGAAGGCAGCUGACGAAACUGUAACUGACGCUGAGGCACGAAAGCGUGGGGAUCAAACAGG